GUGCGCUUGCUCUCAUGGUCGCCAGGGGACAGCAGCGGGAUUAGGCGGUUGGGAAAGAAUUUAGGGGCUCAGAGGUCAUGACAACAGAGAACUAUCCUUGAGAAGAGAAUAACGGGAUUGAACUAGACCCCUCAGAGCGCAGCCGCAGAUGCAUUUCAAGUCUCUCCAGAGGGACUCGUGGGAUAACUGUCAUCCCUUCGGACUAACGGACACAGCCAGCGGCAGUAGAUCCCAGCCAGGGCAUAGGCAGGACGGGAGACAAUGGACAAGGGCUUGGUGCGAUCCCUGUGUGGAACUCAACAGCGGUGUGCAGUAUUAGCACGAUCCUGUGUCCAUCCCAAGGGUGAAGAGAAAAGAGCCUGGAGACUCCCACGGUAGUGCAAGCCCGACCUUGGGGCCAGAGCUUGAUUGUCUUUUUGCUCCUCUCUCUACUCCCCUGAUUCCUCCCACCCAUCUCUUCCUUUGAGUGGCUCCAGUCCCUCCAGGGGCUAAUGCUCUGCCUUCUGGGCCAGACAGAGUACAACCUCAGCCUCUCCAAGACUUGUUGGUGACCAUCUGAAGGAAUUUUUCCUUUGAAAGCAAGCACAGAGCAGCCAGAGAAUGUCCACCAUGAGCAGAAACAAACACCACAAAGAGAUCAAAGUCAAGCAUGAACGUGAAGGCAAAGGUGGCAUUCAAUCAUCCAGCGAAACCAAGUGAGGACCCGAGAGCAGGAGCUGAACCAGGGCCUCUGACGGACUGCUGCUUGCUGCCUUGCUCUACAACAGAGCGGAACAAGAAUGGGUUGUGGAACAGCACUUGCUCAGGCUUUGCAGCAAUCUCAGGUUGUGGUCUCCUCAGUUAAUGCUACCCUCCCGAGGCCAAUACUUCAUCUACACCCCUUGUAGACAGGAGAUGAGGUGUGGAUCCAGAGACAUGGAAGUGAGGAUUUAGGACGUUGCUGGAAGGAUCCUACCUGAUCAUGCUUACUACCUCAACUGCUGUCAAGGUAGAUGGUAUCCACACCUAGAUACACCACUUCCCUGAUUUAAUCAAGGGCAUCACAGAGGGACAAGAAGGCCCAGUUGCGGGGAAAGCCUUCAAUCCAGCUCCAGAGAGGUGGAUCAUCAGCGGACACAGAAAGGGCGACUAAAGAGAAGACGGACUCAGCUUUCAUUCCAUUAUAUGUUAAUGCUUAUGCUAUGUGUACUUGUGUCUGAUUAUGCUGUAUGUACUUAUGUAUGAUUACAUUAUAUGUACUUAGGUAUGAUUAUGCUGUAUGUACUUAUGUAUGAUUAUGCUGUAUGUACUUAUGUAUAAUUAUGCUGUAUGUACUUAUGUAUGAUUACGUUAUAUGUACUUAUGUAUGAUUGUUAUAUGUAAUUAAGUCUGAUUAUGUUGCCUCCCUUAGUGUUUUGGGAUCCAAUGCGGAAAACCCUUCUUCUCCCUCAAACGCCUAUACCCCUCACAGUAGUUUAGGGUUAGGAACAUCUGUAGACUCUCUUGGUGCAACCAGCACAGCAUGGCUCACUCUAACUCCAGGAUCUUAGGGUGCCAGGAAACCCAGGAUUUACUUGCAUUGGAAAAGUGUACUGCAAAGUCAGAGGAACAGGUGGGCUCUUCAGCCGAGGUCGUCUUGGAACAUGGCAGGACUCAUAACCUACUCCAUACAGAACAUGGAGGGUACCGCAUGAACAACUCAUAGAAGAGGGAAAGACUGCAUAGAGGUAGUCCAGGGAUUCCGUUUUCAUAAUCAGUUUUCUCUUGGCUGGAAUCUGUACUGUUAGCUGUUGCAGGACCUCUGGACCUCCAUUCCUUAUGAUUACAUUGGCCCUGCACCUUUAAUGCUAUAACUAGAUAUAAAAAUUCAUACUUAGGAGCCAUUACCCUGAGGGUUGUUUGGUCACGAUAUGAGCAGGUACCCACUGCAAUGUCACGGAUUUGACAAAAUAUCAGAGUAAAACUGUUAUUUGACAUUGGAGAAAACUGCAUCAUGAUAAAUCCAUCACAAAGUGAAAUAGUGUAAGUCGAAAUAGCAUUGAAUCCACCUAAUCUCAUGGGCACUGUCUCUAAAUCUGUCCUGCCUUCAAUAGCUGCAGGACACUUUCAUUAGACUAGAGUGGGGCAAAAUCAUCUAACACUGUAACAGGGCCCCAGACCUCAGCACAGUUGACUCCAUGACAGAAGUACAAUUCAGGCCAGAAUCUUAGUACAUACACAGUAUUCAUCACCUGCUACAAUAAAACGCAAAGGUUUAAUCCAUCAAAGUCCAUAAUUCUGGAAAAGUCUCUAAAUGUCCUAACUUGCUAUUUGGAUUCUGUAGUUUCACAUCUGGCUAACUGUUCUUGUACCUGAAAGGUCUCAACCCACGAUAUGUGUUUUAUGCUCAAAAACUCACCCUGAGAAAGACUGGGGGCUGCACUGGGAUUGUGAAUGAUCCUGACUACCCAGUGUGGUCGCCAGCCAGCUAAUAAAGACGUCCUAUAGACUUGA